ACGAACGCUGGCGGCGUGCUUAACACAUGCAAGUCGAGCGGUAAGGCCUUUCGGGGUACACGAGCGGCGAACGGGUGAGUAACACGUGGGUGAUCUGCCCUGCACUUCGGGAUAAGCCUGGGAAACUGGGUCUAAUACCGGAUAUGACCUCCGAUCGCAUGGUUGGUGGUGGAAAGAUUUAUCGGUGCAGGAUGGGCCCGCGGCCUAUCAGCUUGUUGGUGGGGUAAUGGCCUACCAAGGCGACGACGGGUAGCCG
rnacentral:rRNA from 1 species